AGGCCCGGGCAAGCCAGGGCUUUGCCCUGGUAGUUUUCAACCAAAACCACACCCAAAAGCCACAACUGUUUAUACUUGCUAUCAGCUCCACUUUACAGUUAUUUUAGUGUGAUAACUGGCUUCUGUGAGCUAUCAUAAGGACUUUCAGUCAUUUUAUUAAUUGACCACACCCCUAAUUUUUAUGAAUAAUUAAUGAGCCCUGGUUAAUUCAAGAUUCUGUAGCCGCCUAUGUACUCUUGAUCUAACUGUUAGUAUAGCAACUUGAGAAAACAGUGGAAAUGCUCAAGCAAAAUAUUAUUAAAAGAUGUUACAGUACUUAUCUAGCAAAACUGAAAACAGUUGCAGUAGAAAUUGGAAAACAUUAUAUGACUUUACCUGCAUGCAUGAUGUGAAUGAAACAUUAUAGCCAUUCAAAUGUACUGAUUUUGUUGAACACUUAAUAGCAUGACA